GCCGAAGUGCUGGAACUGGCAGACGGGCCCGGCUCAAACCCGGGUGGAGGUGACUCCGUGUGGGUUCGAGUCCCACCUUCGGCACCA
rnacentral:tRNA from 1 species